rnacentral:rRNA from 1 species
GUGGGGAAUAUUGCACAAUGGGCGGAAGCCUGAUCCAGCCAUGCCGCGUGUGUGAAGAAGGUCUUCGGAUUGUAAAGCACUUUAAGUUGGGAGGAAGGGUAGUAACCUAAUACGUUGCUACUUUGACGUUACCGACAGAAUAAGCACCGGCUAACUUCGUGCCAGCAGCCGCGGUAAUACGAAGGGUGCAAGCGUUAAUCGGAAUUACUGGGCGUAAAGCGCGCGUAGGUGGUUCAGUAAGUUGGAAGUGAAAUCCCCGGGCUCAACCUGGGAACUGCUUUCAAAACUGCUGAGCUAGAGUACGGUAGAGGGUGGUGGAAUUUCCUGUGUAGCGGUGAAAUGCGUAGAUAUAGGAAGGAACACCAGUGGCGAAGGCGACCACCUGGACUGAUACUGACACUGAGGUGCGAAAGCGUGGGGAGCAAACAGGAUUAGAAACCCGUGUAGUCC